rnacentral:pre_miRNA from 1 species
AACUUUUCGAAUCAAUGCUAAGAUUUCGUUAAACACACUAAUUCAUUAGAGCUAAUCAAACUUUCAAGAUCAGUAAAGUU